rnacentral:rRNA from 1 species
UAGGGAGGCAGCAGUGGGGAAUAUUGCACAAUGGGCGCAAGCCUGAUGCAGCCAUGCCGCGUGUAUGAAGAAGGCCUUCGGGUUGUAAAGUACUUUCAGUCGUGAGGAAGGUGUUAAGGUUAAUAACCUUAGCAAUUGACGUUAGCGACAGAAGAAGCACCGGCUAACUCCGUGCCAGCAGCCGCGGUAAUACGGAGGGUGCGAGCGUUAAUCGGAAUUACUGGGCGUAAAGGGCACGCAGGCGGUUAAUUAAGUUGGAUGUGAAAUCCCCGGGCUUAACCUGGGAAUGGCAUUCAAGACUGGUUAGCUAGAGUCUUGUAGAGGGGGUAGAAUUCCAUGUGUAGCGGUGAAAUGCGUAGAGAUGUGGAGGAAUACCGGGUGGCGAAGGCGGCCCCUGGGACAAAGACUGACGCUCAUGUGCGAAAGCGUGGGGAGCAAACAGGGAUUAGAUACC